rnacentral:rRNA from 1 species
GCAACGGAUAUCUCGGCUCUCGCAUCGAUGAAGAACGUAGCGAAAUGCGAUACUUGGUGUGAAUUGCAGAAUCCCGUGAACCAUCGAGUCUUUGAACGCAAGUUGCGCCCGAAGCCUCUAGGCCGAGGGCACGCCUGCCUGGGCGUCACGCGCCGUUGCCCCCCCU